CCUAAAUACGGCAGCCAUUUUUUCCUUUCAAAUCUUCUGCAAGUUUUCUAUUCUCAGAAUUUAUUCAGCCCCUCCAUAUCAUUCAGCUCCAGUGAUUUAUUCUUCAAUUAUAUUUAUUUGGGAAGGGCUAAAAACUGUUUUUAAUAAUAUUAAAAAAAAUUGAAGUAGAAAAAUACUAAAAAAAAUUGUUGGGGAGGGCUAAAGCCCCUCAUUCCCUCCUGCUAAUGCUUCUACGGUUGAUUAGGAGCUUCAAUUUACAUUAAGUGAUUAUUAAAUGUGAAAUAGGGAGUACAAAAAAUUCAAGUAAAUCAUCUUUAGGCCUAAUGUUAUUGACUCUAUAUUACAUCUAGCUAAAAUCUUUUGAGCCCAUACGACCCAACAGCUCCAAGCGACAGAAUUUCCAAUUCCAGCACAGAUCAGAUUUCUGCCGCUACAUUGUAACACCUUCCCUCUCCUACAAAGUUAAUUCACACAAUUACUCCCUCCUUCCCUCAAAAUUUGUCACCGAUGAAGUUCUGGGAUUGGUACUUGAAGAUAGCAGUUGGGUCAGCGAUGGUUGGAGGUUCAAUGGAGCUUUUCAUGAUCAAAACUGGUUUCUACGAUAAAGUAGCAGUUUUGGAGUCAGAGAAGAGGGCUUGGGAGAGUUCGCCUGAAGCUCAAGCCAUGAGAGACGCUCUGAAUCCUUGGCGGCAUCAGGAGAAGGAAGCUGAAAAAAGUUCCUAGUCGCGUUAGAAUUGGUUGUUUCAUAAAACUUCAGAUCUUGAUAUAAACUAGUACGGAUUGUUAGACUUCAUCUUGAGUAUCAUAUGGUUGAUACUUGGAAGCCGCUUAAUAAUUUAGAAAUUAUGUGCAAAAUCAUAAUUAUGUGAAAGUUUGUAUACUUGGACACAACUGCUCCAUUUAGAAAUUAGAAGUGAUGUGUCUGCAGAAAUUUAUGUAAAGUCAUUGUUGAUUUACAGGUCCGGAGUAUGGUUUGCAUCUCUUCUACAGUGGAUGAAAUUUAUGAAAAAUACGAUGCACCUAUCGUCUUACAUUA